GACGAACGCUGGCGGCGUGCUUAACACAUGCAAGUCGAACGGAAAGGCCCUGCUUUUGUGGGGUGCUCGAGUGGCGAACGGGUGAGUAACACGUGAGUAACCUGCCCUUGACUUUGGGAUAACUUCAGGAAACUGGGGCUAAUACCGGAUAGGAGCUCCUGCUGCAUGGUGGGGGUUGGAAAGUUUCGGCGGUUGGGGAUGGACUCGCUGCUUAUCCGCUUGUUGGUGGGGUAGUGGCUUACCAAGGCUUUGACGGGUAGCCGGCCUGAGAGGGUGACCGGCCACAUUGGGACUGAGAUACGGCCCAGACUCCUACGGGAGGCAGCAGUGGGGAAUAUUGCACAAUGGGCGGAAGCCUGAUGCAGAAACGCCGCGUGCGGGAUGACGGCCUUCGGGUUGUAAACCGCUUUCGCCUGUGACGAAGCAUGAGUGACGGUAAUGGGUAAAGAAGCACCGGCUAACUACGUG
rnacentral:rRNA from 1 species